AUUGAACGCUGGCGGCAGGCUUAACACAUGCAAGUCGAGCGGAGAUGAGGUGCUUGCACCUUAUCUUAGCGGCGGACGGGUGAGUAAUGCUUAGGAAUCUGCCUAUUAGUGGGGGACAACAUUCCGAAAGGAAUGCUAAUACCGCAUACGUCCUACGGGAGAAAGCAGGGGAUCUUCGGACCUUGCGCUAAUAGAUGAGCGUAAGUCGGAUUAGCUAGUUGGUGGGGUAAAGGCCUACCGAGGCGACGAUCUGUAGCGGGUCUGAGAGGAUGAUCCGCCACACUGGGACUGAGACACGGCCCAGACUCCUACGGGAGGCAGCAGUGGGGAAUAUUGGACAAUGGGGGGAACCCUGAUCCAGCCAUGCCGCGUGUGUGAAGAAGGCCUUAUGGUUGUAAAGCACUUUAAGCGAGGAGGAGGCUACUGAGACUAAUACUCUUGGAUAGUGGACGUUACUCGCAGAAUAAGCACCGGCUAACUCUGUGCCAGCCGCCGCGGUAAUAC
rnacentral:rRNA from 1 species